rnacentral:rRNA from 1 species
AUUGAACGCUGGCGGCAGGCUUAACACAUGCAAGUCGAGCGAGCGGCGGACGGGUGAGUAAUGUCUGGGAAACUGCCUGAUGGAGGGGGAUAACUACUGGAAACGGUAGCUAAUACCGCAUACAAUCAGAUGAACCCAGAUGGGAUUAGCUAGUAGGUGGGGUAACGGCUCACCUAGGCGACGAUCCCUAGCUGGUCUGAGAGGAUGACCAGCCACACUGGAACUGAGACACGGUCCAGACUCCUACGGGAGGCAGCAGUGGGGAAUAUUGCACAAUGGGCGCAAGCCUGAUGCAGCCAUGCCGCGUGUGUGAAGAAGGCCUUCGGGUUGUAAAGCACUUUCAGCGAGGAGGCGUUACCCGCAGAAGAAGCACCGGCUAACUCCGUGCCAGCAGCCGCGGUAAUAC